rnacentral:rRNA from 1 species
GCAGCCGCGGUAAUACGUAGGUGACAAGCGUUGUCCGGAUUUACUGGGUGUAAAGGGCGUGUAGGCGGGAUAGCAAGUCAGUCGUGAAAUACCGAAGCUCAACUUCGGAGCUGCGAUUGAAACUGUUAUUCUUGAGUAUCGGAGAGGAAAGCGGAAUUCCCAGUGUAGCGGUGAAAUGCGUAGAUAUUGGGAGGAACACCAGUGGCGAAGGCGGCUUUCUGGACGACAACUGACGCUGAGGCGCGAAAGUGUGGGGAGCAAACAGGAUUAGAUACCCC